UUCCAGACUCCUACGGGAGGCAGCAGUGGGGAAUAUUGCACAAUGGGGGAAACCCUGAUGCAGCGACGCCGCGUGAGUGAAGAAGUAUUUCGGUAUGUAAAGCUCUAUCAGCAGGGAAGAAAAUGACGGUACCUGACUAAGAAGCCCCGGCUAACUACGUGCCAGCAGCCGCGGUAAUACGUAGGGGGCAAGCGUUAUCCGGAUUUACUGGGUGUAAAGGGAGCGUAGACGGCAUGGCAAGUCAGAUGUGAAAGCCCGGGGCUCAACCCCGGGACUGCAUUUGAAACUGUCAGGCUGGAGUGCAGGAGAGGUAAGUGGAAUUCCUAGUGUAGCGGUGAAAUGCGUAGAUAUUAGGAGGAACACCAGUGGCGAAGGCGGUCUGCUGGACAGCAACUGACGCUGAGGCGCGAAAGCGUGGGGAGCAAACAGGAUUAGAUACCCGAGUAU
rnacentral:rRNA from 1 species